rfam:Picea glauca, whole genome shotgun sequence.
GUAAUGGUGUCUUUAGACACCACCCUCUGUCUUCAAAAUUUUUGU